rnacentral:tRNA from 1 species
UCCCUGGUGGCUCAGAGGUUAAAGCGUCUGCCUGCAAUGCUGGAGACCUGGGUUCAAUCCCUGGGUCGGGAA